rnacentral:rRNA from 1 species
ACGGAAGGCAGCAGUGGGGAAUAUUGGGCAAUGGGGGAAACCCUGACCCAGCAACGCCGCGUGGAGGAAGAAGGUCUUCGGAUCGUAAACUCCUGUCCUCAAAGACGAGAAGAAGACGGUAUUUGAGGAGGAAGCCCCGGCUAACUACGUGCCAGCAGCCGCGGUAAUACGUAGGGGGCAAGCGUUGUCCGGAAUGACUGGGCGUAAAGGGCGUGUAGGCGGCCGAUUAAGUCUGAAGUGAAAGUCCUGCUUUCAAGGUGGGAAUUGCUUUGGAGACUGGUUGGCUUGAGUGCGGAAGAGGUAAGUGGAAUUCCCAGUGUAGCGGUGAAAUGCGUAGAGAUUGGGAGGAACACCAGUGGCGAAGGCGACUUACUGGGCCGUAACUGACGCUGAGGCGCGAAAGCGUGGGUAGCAAACAGGAUUAGAUACCCUGGUA